UGUUGCAUAUUCUUAGGCCCGAUCUUGUGGCAAGAACUAGGUAGUUUGUUAACUCGCUACACGGUUCUUGUCAUAAGAUCGAGUCUAUGAAUAUGCAAAUG
rnacentral:pre_miRNA from 13 species